AGAAAAUGUGGAGGCUCAAGGUUGCAGAUGGAGGCAAUGAUCCCUACAUCUACAGCACCAACAACUUCGUGGGAAGACAGAUAUGGGAGUUUGAUCCUGAUUAUGGAACUCCAGAAGAGCGAGCUGCGGUCGAAGCAGCUCGUGAGAACUUCUGGAAAAACCGAUAUCAGGCUAAGCCCAGCAGCGACCUCCUUUGGCGGAUGCAGUUUUUGAGAGAGAAGAAUUUCAAACAAACAAUACCACAAGUGAAGGUUGGGGAUGG